CCUACGGGUGGCAGCAGUGGGGGAUAUUGCACAAUGGGGGGAACCCUGAUGCAGCCACGCCGCGUGGGUGAAGGAGUGCUUCGGCGUGUAAAGCCCUAUCGGCAGGGAAGAAGCAAGACGGUACCUGACUAAUAAGCCCCGGCUAACUACGUAACAGCAGCCUCGGUAAUACGGAGGGGGCGAGCGUUAUCCGGAUUCACUGGGUGUAAAGGGAGCGUAGACGGCACAGCAAGGCAGGGGUGAAAGCCCGGGGCCCAACCCCGGGACUGCCCUUGGAACUGCAUGGCUGGAGUGCGGGAGGGGCAGGCGGAAUUCCUGGUGUAGCGGUGAAAUGCGUAGAUAUCAGGAGGAACACCGACGGCGAAGGCAGCCUGCUGGACCGCGACUGACGUUGAGGCUCGAAAGCGUGGGGAGCGAACAGGAUUAGAUACCCGUGUAGUC
rnacentral:rRNA from 1 species